UACGUAGGGAGCAAGCGUUGUCCGGAAUCAUUGGGCGUAAAGCGCGCGUAGGCGGCCCUGUAAGUCCGUUGUGAAAGUCAAAGGCUCAACCUUUGAAAGCCGAUGGAUACUGCAGGGCUAGAGUCCGGGAGAGGCGAGUGGAAUUCCUGGUGUAGCGGUGGAAUGCGCAGAUAUCAGGAGGAACACCAAUAGCGAAGGCAGCUCGCUGGGACGGUACUGACGCUAAGGCGCGAAAGCGUGGGGAGCGAACAGG
rnacentral:rRNA from 1 species